rnacentral:rRNA from 1 species
GGAUGACGUCAAGUCCUCAUGGCCUUUAUGCCCAGGGAUGCAAACGUGCUACAAUGGUACGGACAAAGCGAUGCAAUACCGCGAGGUGGAGCAAAUCGCAAAAACCGUGCCCCAGUUCGGAUAGCAGGCUGAAAUUCGCCUGCUUGAAGCCGGAAUCGCUAGUAAUCGUGGGUCAGCAUACCACGGUGAAUAUGUUCCUGAGCCUUGUACACACCGC